AUGAGAAAAUCUUACUUUCCGGGUUACCCUUCGGACUUUCAGCCUUGGCAAGGGCUCCGAGUCGGAGGAAAAUGUCAUUACCUCUUCAACCACCGGGUUACUUGCUCCGGUGUCAUCCUGUUGAUGGACAGUAUUGAUAAGGUGGAUAGGAAUAAACAACAAAUUCAACAAGAGAUUACAGGUUCAGGGGUUACCUCUGACUCGGAGCUGUCGCUUAGUUGCAGCAGCUCUGAAGCAGUAGGCCUACUUCCCUUCUUGCGGGGAGCGGCUCUCUUGGCGGCUUUCUUAGCCUUCCUGGCCUUCUUGGCCGCCUCAUGGUCGUAUUUGACCUUCCAGAAUUUGUCAUCAGCCUGA
rnacentral:rRNA from 1 species